rnacentral:rRNA from 1 species
AGAAUGACUCUCGGUAACAGAUAUCUCGGCUCU